UGAACAAUUAUUACACGAAUAAUCAGACAUCGCGGUAACAUAUUCACUGCAGAGUGUUUUCAAUGUUGUGUUUUAAAUUCUGAGCCCAUCGAGGAAUGUAUCGGUUUUACUAUGAUACGGAUUUUAUACCAGAAAUCUUGCUCAGACCAAAAACUGACAAGAGAGUUUUUUUGUAGAAUUUAGGAUCUUGUUGGUACGAUGUGAAGAUCGUUUUUAUAAUUUACCUCUUAGUUUUCCUAAUAGUUGGGA